CUUCCCCAAUUGCUUAGUCAAGGAUGCUUUAAAAUACAUGUCAGACAAUUCUGACUUCUCUGUCAUUGAGGCAUUUGGUAGAUCUUUUCUUCAUCUAUCCACAGGUCUUUCUACUUCUUGGUUAACAUAUGGUAUUUUUGGUUAAGACAGGAAAUUAUUCCACUAUGUUAUGAUACCAUAGGUUUUAUUUAUACAUUCUUUUAAUGAGCAUCCUAUGACAUUAUCCUAAUAGGAGGUGGGAAGGACCUCAUUUUUACUGCUGCACAAAUCUACACCUCAACCCUAUCAAUGCUGUAACCUUUUAAUACAGUUUGUCAUGUUAUGGUGACCCCCUCAAAAUUUGUUGCUAUUUCAUAAAUAAUUUUGCUACUGUUAUGAAUUGUAAUAUAAAUAUUGGUGUUUUCUGAAAGGGUCAUUUGAACCCAAAAGGUUCAUGACUGAUAUGUUGAGAAGUGCUGCUUUUGGAUAAAAGUACAUCUGUCUCCCAUGUAGUGCCCUCAGAAGUCAGAAGAGGGUGUUGAACCCGCCGGAACUGGAGUCACAGAUGGUUGUGAGAUGCUGUAUGAGUGCUGAGAACUAGGCCUGGGUCUACUUCAAGAACAAGCACUCUUAAAGCCAUUUUUCCAGCCAUAACACAUUUGUUCUUCAGAGAAGGCCCCCAGGUGUCCCUGGAAACCCAACUUCACCAUACAAACAAUGAUGUGCCUGUCUGUUGCCCUGCUCCCCACCAUGACAUCGAGGGACUCCUAUCCCUCUGAAACUCCACUCAAAUAUCACUUCGAAAUCAUGCAUGCUCACACGGGGCAGUCAGAGAUCCAUGCUGAAGGAUGGAGAUAGAAAACAAUUAAAGGUAUUUGUUUUCCGUAAUUAAACCAUUGUUUUUAUGACAGCUGAAACCUGUUGUAAAAACACUUCAGUGACUUACAGUGACUUUUAUCCUGAGAGGUGUUCCGGACACCUUUGACUGGCAUGCUGUGCUAGUGUGCGCAUGUGUAGUGUGUGGAUUGUGUGUUCAGAGCCACGGCUGCUCUGACAAAGUCAUCUCUGCUUUGUUAUUCUCAUCUUGAAUUUUUUGGUUUUUUGUAAGUUGAGAAAGCUUUAACUGUUGCAAAUGAUUUUGUUUGUUUGUUUGCCGCCCUGCCUUUAGGAUUUGUACACAUAGUUUAAGACGCCUUUAGUUCAUAGACUUCCCUGUGCCAAUUGCCUGGUAAGGCCACUGUAUCUUCUUGCCCUCCCUCAAAUAUGGAAUAGACUGAAUGUUCCCACUCGCGAAUGGCCUUUUGGGAAGGCGGGAGAAUGGGUACAAAGUUCCCCCAGUGGCUGAUGGCCUGUACUUAGGGAACCAAAGACUGAAAGGGGAUAAUGCUGUUGCUUCAGCCUUGGCUCAUCUGGACCUGUGGGUGGGAGGCUCUACCUCACCAGAGCAGUGGAUGUCACAGAAGCCACUGUGAAGUCACUGCCAGAGUGCACACACAGAAGUGCAAACAGAAGGCAGAAUUCUUUUUGAGUUAUGUGACCUUUAUUAUUGAAA